CGCACUCAUUCUCAUUUUCGCUCAUGCACUCCCUUGUCUUCGUUUCUUUCUCUUUAGUUUGGCAAAUCCCGCGACGACACGCUGAACGGCGAUUUAUUUUUUAUAUUCGCGAGGGAUCGUUGAUCGAAGACUCGAGAAGCUAGCCUUCGUGGAUCACACUUCCCCAGAGAUGGGCAACGUUAGGUGAAAAGUUUCAAAUAACGAACAGAAGGUGGUAAAGCUUCGAUUCGUUAUUUGUUUAAUAGAAACGUAAAACAAGAAAUUACUAUUCAAUACGAAUUAUUGUUGAAGAGAUUAUUCAUUUAUUUAGAUAAUCGAAUAGAAGAGAUUUGAAUCUAAAAUUCUAAAUGGUAGAAAGUAUGCUAACUAUUGAGAUAAAUAGCGCAAUGAUAUUCUUUUUCUUGAACGAAGGUUGAACUUUGCACAGUAAUAGUUUAAUCGAAGAAAAGUGAAUUUUAUUGUUUGAAUAAAGUGUGAAUUUGAAUAGAAUCCUGCCCAUCUCUGCUCGUCCCUCUCUCUCGCCGACAGUUGGCGUCGCUUGGGACUCCGCGGAAACGCGACACCAGCUGGAGAACGUAAAUUAAAACCAGAAAACACCUUUCUACACCUUUUCGUAUCGAAUGGAGGUCGUUGGAAGGCAAAACCACCAAAGUUAAUCGUGAUUUUUAAAAGCAAUUUCCUUUCAACUCAAAUUCAUGAACGAAUAAAUAAAUUGCUUUGGAUUCAAAACUUUUUAGUGGCUCUAGGAUAUCUGAGUUUCCUCGAGAAUCGAUAGGCAUAUCGACAGAAUCAUUCUACAUAUCAGAGAUUCGCUAUCGACGUUAAUUUUAGAUGAUGACGCCGACAGCUGUCUUAAUUUAGAAGGGGAAACACGUCAAGAGCUGCGUGAUUUUCGAUAAAAAAUCUCAGAGCGUAAACCCGAAAAUCGUGAUAAGCAUUGGCACGUUUGUUUAUCGUACAAGAUACUUCAGAUUGCUAAUCGAACCCUUAGGGUUUGACAUAGAUCGAGAUGUUUAUUCACAUUCCUCGAUGAAGUUGAAUUAGAAUUCUGAAGCAUGCCCAGUGUCAAGAAAUUUUUAUUUAAAAAACGACGUGGAUAACUAUGUUUGAUGAAGAUGGGAGAGAAGGAACAAGAGUUUUAAUUGAAGUUUUAAUGAAAAGCUCGUUCAGCCUCGAGAUCAACCAUCUGGGGAUCAAACUCGACGAGUUACUCGAGGGUGGAGUGCAAACUGCGUUGAAUUCUGUCAACACAGACACCUGUUUUAAUUUAAAAGAAACUCUCGAGGAAACCAGAAUUUUCGCAUAAAAUCGUUCGAUGGAGGCUAAGCUAGAUAACAAUGCUAGAUUUCAAGUGAUCCUAGGUGGAGGAUACUCAGACUCGAUUUAAUUUCAGGGAAGAGGAUAAAAGGAGGUAAAGAUGGAAGCUAAGAUCGUCGACUUUGGAAUGGAAUUCGGUAAUUAAAAAUUUGUAAGCGUAUCGAUCAACAAUCCCGAUUUGAAAUGAUCCACAUGGAGGCUUGAUUUAAUUACAGAGAAGAAAA